rnacentral:rRNA from 1 species
GACGUAGGGCGCGAGCGUUGUCCGGAUUUAUUGGGCGUAAAGAGCUCGUAGGCGGCUUGUCGCGUCGUCUGUGAAAUCCCGCGGCUCAACUGCGGGCUGGCAGUCGAUACGGGCAGGCUGGAGUUCGGUAGGGGAGACUGGAAUUCCUGGUGUAGCGGUGAAAUGCGCAGAUAUCAGGAGGAACACCGGUGGCGAAGGCGGGUCUCUGGGCCGAUACUGACGCUGAGGAGCGAAAGCCAGGGGAGCAAACGGG